UGGCAGCAGUGGGGAAUCUUCCGCAAUGGACGAAAGUCUGACGGAGCAACGCCGCGUGUAUGAAGAAGGCCUUCGGGUUGUAAAAUACUGUUGUUGGGGAAGAAACGUCUAGGUGAGAAUAUUGCCUGGACUUGACGGUACUCAACGAGGAAGCCCCGGCUAACUACGUGCCAGCAGCCGCGGUAAUACGUAGGGGGCAAGCGUUGUCCGGAAUCAUUGGGCGUAAAGGGCGCGUAGGCGGCAAUAUAAGUCUGAUGUGAAAGUGCGGAGCUUAACUCCGUAAAGCAUUGGAAACUGUAUAGCUUGAGGACAGGAGAGGAAAGUGGAAUUCCACGUGUAGCGGUGAAAUGCGUAGAGAUGUGGAGGAACACCAGUGGCGAAGGCGACUUUCUGGACUGUAACUGACGCUGAGGCGCGAAAGCGUGGGGAUCAAACAGGAUUAGAUACCCGAGUAGUC
rnacentral:rRNA from 1 species